rnacentral:rRNA from 1 species
AUUGAACGCUGGCGGCAUGCCUUACACAUGCAAGUCGAACGGCAGCACGGGUGCUUGCACCUGGUGGCGAGUGGCGAACGGGUGAGUAAUAUAUCGGAACGUACCUUAUUGUGGGGGAUAACGCAGCGAAAGCUGUGCUAAUACCGCAUAAUCCCUAAGGGGGAAAGCGGGGGACCGUAAGGCCUCGCGCAAUUAGAGCGGCCGAUACCUGAUUAGCUAGUUGGUGAGGUAAAGGCUCACCAAGGCAACGAUCAGUAGCUGGUCUGAGAGGACGAUCAGCCACACUGGGACUGAGACCCGUCCCAGACUCCUACGGGAGGCAGCAGUGGGGAAUAUUGGACAAUGGGGGCAACCCUGAUCCAGCAAUGCCGCGUGUGUGAAGAAGGCCUGAGGGUUGUAAAGCACUUUUGUUGGGGCGAAUGGUAGGCUAGGUUAAGAGCUAGGUUUAUUGAUGUUACCCAAAGAAUAAGCACCGGCUAACUCCGUGCCAGCCGCCGCCGUAA